rnacentral:rRNA from 1 species
UAAAUGCGGAAGAGAUAAGUGCUGAAAGCAUCUAAGCACGAAACUUGCCCCGAGAUGAGUUCUCCCUGACUCCUUGAGAGUCCUGAAGGAACGUUGAAGACGACGACGUUGAUAGGCCGGAUGUGUAAGCGCAGCGAUGCGUUGAGCUAACCGGUACUAAUGAACCGUGAGGCUUAACCUUACAACGCCGAAGGUGUUU